CUAAACCGGUCCAAACCCGCAUUGUGUGCUUCCCAAAGAAGAUUGACUGUGACAUCAACAGCACGUACUUAUGAGGUCCUUUCAACACACAGUUCCAGAACAUUGCAUGAAAUUGAGUAACAUUUGACAAUCUUUUAGGACACCUGUCAUUAUACUGUGUGUGUGUGUGUGUAGAAUGAAAAUGAGACAAUAUUUCUGACUUGAAUCAUACAUGUCAUUCAGAAUGAAUACUGCCAUUGUCACACCACUGGACAGUUUCUGGCUAGAACUCUUUGCAGGUCGAAAAGUUACAUAAACCAAUUACCAAAUCCAUUCGAUGAGAAUAAGACAACUCACACACACACUUUUAAAAUAAUGAACACAGUUAAGUUUUAGGUACUGUAUUAAUAUAUUGAUACCUAAAACUUGAUACAAAAACUGCAUAUAUCAAGCCAAACUGAUGUAAAAGGAAAAUAUGGUGGGACUGAUAAGCGGCUUGAAAAAUGGAUGGAUGUACUGUAUUUUCCGAAGUGUUUGCAGCUUCAAUACUCAACUUGUAUGAUGCAUUGACUUUUGUCAUGAAUUAAACUGCAACUUUCCACUGAAA